rnacentral:rRNA from 1 species
UACGUAGGCAGCGAGCGUUUGUUCAUGAGUUACUGGGCGUAAAGCGUGCGUAGGCGGUGUCUUAAGUUUGUUGUGAAAUCUCCCGGCUUAACCGGGAGGGUGCGGCGAAUACUGAGAUGCUGGAGUGCCGGAGAGGUAAGCGGAAUUCCUGGUGUAGCGGUGAAAUGCGUAGAUAUCAGGAGGAACACCUGCGGUGUAGACGGCUUACUGGACGGUAACUGACGCUGAGGCACGAAAGCGUGGGUAGCAAACAGG